rnacentral:rRNA from 1 species
GAUGAACGCUAGCGGGAGGCCUAACACAUGCAAGCCGAGCGGUAUUGUUUCUUCGGAAAUGAGAGAGCGGCGUACGGGUGCGUAACACGUGUGCAACCUGCCUUUAUCUGGGGGAUAGCCUUUCGAAAGGAAGAUUAAUACUCCAUAAUAUAUUGAACGGCAUCGUUUAAUAUUGAAAGCUCCGGCGGAUAGAGAUGGGCACGCGCAAGAUUAGCUAGUUGGUGAGGUAACGGCUCACCAAGGCGAUGAUCUUUAGGGGGCCUGAGAGGGUGACCCCCACACUGGUACUGAGACACGGACCAGACUCCUACGGGAGGCAGCAGUGAGGAAUAUUGGUCAAUGGGUGCAAGCCUGAACCAGCCAUCCCGUGUGAAGGACGACUGCCCUAUGGGUUGUAAACUUCUUUUGUAUAGGGAUAAACCUACCCUCGAGAGGGUAGCUGAAGGUACUAUACGAAUAAGCACCGGCUAACUCCGUG